CUCUCUAGAUAUCUAGAGAGAGAGAUCCACUGUGUGAGCAACCCGCAUAAUAAUAACAGGACGUUACGUGUGCUCUACAGGCCGCACUCCAUCUUUCUUCCCAACGAGCCCUUUUUGUGAUUUGGAAGACGGGCGUUGCGUUCGGUUCGAAGGGCAUGGUUUUCAGUAUGUCUCCAGAUAAGGCCCCCACUAGUCCGGCUAGCUAGUGAGCGAUUCUUUCGGGCGAGAAGUGGGCCGG
rnacentral:lncRNA from 1 species